rnacentral:rRNA from 1 species
AGUGGAUGGGGAGCAACCUAGUUGUGCGUGUGUAAAGGUAGUGCCAAGAAAAGCGGUGACCAUGAUGAAAAUCAAUUCCCGGUACCCGAAACCGACACAGGUGGGCAAGUAGAGAAUACUAAGGGGCGCGAGGUAACUCUCUCCAAGGAACUCGGCAAAAUGACCCCGUAACUUAGGGAGAAGGGGUGCCACCGAGAGGUGGUCGCAGUGAAGAGGCCCAGGCGACUGUUUAGCAAAAACAUAGGUCUCUGCAAACUCGAAAGAGGAGGUAUAGGGGCUGACGCCUGCCCAGUGCCGGAAGGUUAAAGAAGUUGGUCAGUCUUAGGAUAAAGCUAGCGACUGAAGCCCCGGUGAACGGCGGCCGUAACUAUAACGGUCCUAAGGUAGCGAAAUUCCUUGUCGGGUAAGUUCCGACCCGCACGAAAGGCGUAACGAUCUGGGCGCUGUCUCGGAGAGAGGCUCGGCGAAAUAGGAUUGUCUGUGAAGAUACGGACUACCUGCAUUUGGACAGAAAGACCCUAUGAAGCUUUACUAUAGCUUGGAAUUGUGUUCGGGCUUCCUGUGCGCAGGAUAGGUGGGAGGCGAAGAAGGUAUUCUUGUGGGGAUACUGGAGCCAACGGUGAGAUACCACUCUCAGGAGGCUAGAAUUCUAACUUAAUUAAGGACAGUUUCAGGUGGGUAGUUUGACUGGGGCGGUCGCCUCCAAAAAGGUAACGGAGGCGUACAAAGGUUCCCUCAGACUGGUUGGAAAUCAGUCGCAGAGUGCAAAGGCAGAAGGGAGCUUGACUGCGAGAAGUACAGUUCGAGCAGGGUGGAAACACGGUCUUAGUGAUCCGACGGUGCUGUGUGGAAGGGCCGUCGCUCAACGGAUAAAAGUUACUCUAGGAUAACAGGCUGAUCUCCCCCAAGAGCUCACAUCGACGGGGAGGUUUGGCACCUCGAUGUCGGCUCAUCGCAACCUGGGGCGGAAGUACGUCCCAAGGGUUGGGCUGUUCGCCCAUUAAAGCGGUACGUGAGCUGGGUUCAGAACGUCGUGAGACAGUUCGGUCCAUAUCCGAUGUAGGCGUGAGAAUAUUGAGAGGAGCCUUCCUUAGUACGAGAGGACCGGGAAGGACGCACCGCUGGUGUACCUGUUAUGAUGCCAAUUGUAAAUGCAGGGUAGCCAAGUGCGGAGAGGAUAACCGCUGAAAGCAUCUAAGUGGGAAGCCCACCUCAAGAUGAGUAUUCUGGUGUAAGGUCACGGGAAGACGACCCGUAAAUAGGCACGAGGUGGAAGUGCAGAGAUGUAUGAAGCCGAAGUGUACUAAUAGACCGUCGGCUUGACU